CUUGUAGGCGGUUGGCCGCGUCUGCCGUGAAAUCCUCUGGCUUAACUGGGGGCGUGCGGUGGGUACGGGUUGACUUGAGUGCGGUAGGGGAGACUGGAAUUCCUGGUGUAGCGGUGGAAUGCGCAGAUAUCAGGAGGAACACCGGUGGCGAAGGCGGGUCUCUGGGCCGUUACUGACGCUGAGGAGCGAAAGCGUGGGGAGCGAACG
rnacentral:rRNA from 1 species